rnacentral:siRNA from 1 species
UGGAGUAUCGAAGGGCAUAGU